rnacentral:rRNA from 1 species
GAUGAACGCUGGCGGCGUGCCUAAUACAUGCAAGUCGAGCGAACAGACGAGGAGCUUGCUCCUCUGACGUUAGCGGCGGACGGGUGAGUAACACGUGGAUAACCUACCUAUAAGACUGGGAUAACUUUGGGAAACCGGAGCUAAUACCGGAUAAUAUAUUGAACCGCAUGGUUCAAUAGUGAAAGACGGUUUUGCUGUCACUUAUAGAUGGAUCCGCGCCGCAUUAGCUAGUUGGUAAGGUAACGGCUUACCAAGGCGACGAUGCGUAGCCGACCUGAGAGGGUGAUCGGCCACACUGGAACUAAGACACGGUCCAGACUCCUACGGGAGGCAGCAGUAGGGAAUCUUCCGCAAUGGGCGAAAGCCUGACGGAGCAACGCCGCGUGAGUGAUGAAGGUCUUCGGAUCGUAAAACUCUGUUAUUAGGGAAGAACAAAUGUGUAAGUAACUAUGCACGUCUUGACGGUACCUAAUCAGAAAGCCACGGCUAACUACGUG